UACGGAGAGUGCAAGCAUUAAUCGGAAUUAUUGGGCGUAAAGGGCGCGUAGGCGGAAUUAUAAGUCAGAUGUGAAAUUCUGAAGCUCAACUUCAGAGCUGCAUUUGAAACUGUAAGUCUAGAGGGUUGACGGAGAAAACGGAAUUCCACGUGUAGCGGUGAAAUGCGUAGAUAUGUGGAAGAACACCUGUGGCGAAAGCGGUUUUCUAGUUAAUACCUGACGCUGAGGCGCGAGAGCAAGGGGAGCAAACAGG
rnacentral:rRNA from 1 species